UUUCAUUUCUAAGGAAACAGGAAGGGUUAUAACAGCUCACACCCAGACAAACACAGACACGAUUCCCUAACAGCAGCACACUAACAAAGGAGGAUGAGGAUGUCAGGAAGAUUCAUAAGUUGCUUUGCAGCUCUGUUCCUUGCACUGGCAUCGGUGUCAGCUGUAGAAAGACUCAAUUCAAUUAAGGAUUUGAAGAAAAUCAACUUUGGUCAAUCUGUGCCCAAACACACUCUUCUACUUCUCCACUGGUUUGCCAACGUAGUGGAUAUCGACAGCAACAACAUCAUACGGUUGACCUUUGACCCAAACGAUCAUGAUUAUGGAUCGCAUCAUUAUGGCAACUAUGAGCAGGUGCUGGAGCCAACGCCUCAGGGUUACGAGUACUACACUGUUGGCAAUCACCUUCGUGACAGACGUGAAGAAAUUCCAGAUUAUGUCGCCCAUCCCCGGGCAGAGUAUGUGGGAAGAAACAGGGACCGAAUCAUAUUCAGAGUCAGGCUUCAGAACACAGGAUGGCAGCAGAUAGAUCGAGUGUACAUCACACAGCAUUAUGGUAUCCCUGGAAAUACGACAUAUGAUCCUGAACAUACCUAUGAGAUCACGAUUAACCUUCUGAGAACAAUCCGAAAGUUUUCAGUGGGAGCAAGCCAGUCACUGUCCAUGCUCAGAAAUCGCUAUGGAAGUAACACUAGUGAUUUCCAGUUAUCAGAAAUCAGAAACAUAUGGGGGAACCUUGCUUUUCUUGGACUGCUGUUGUUUAUUGUGAUCGAGGAAAGGUACAACUUUGACCAACAAAGGGCCAGCCUUCAGAAUGAGAUAAAAGGAGGAGGAAAUGAGGUUGUGACACAAAUUGACAUUCCUGAAUACAACUUCCAAGGCCCCACACAAAAUUGGUUGAAUUGUGAAACAUGCAUUCUCAUUUUUGUGCUUAUAUGUAUAUUUGUCUUUGCCAUUUUUGGUUACCUCUGGCUUUGAAAUGAGAAAUGAGAAAAAGGCUGUCCAAACAAAACAUUUUUCUGUUCACUACUUAUUUUUCUCAAUUGUUUUUAAUUUCUUAUUUAACUUUACAAAGAAAAAUAAAGAAAAAAAAGGACGAAACAUACAAUACACCAUUACCUUUAAGUUGAUUGGGAAUCAAGCAGUUAGGAAGAUCAAUGGACCUGGAUAAGGGAUAAUUCUAAAAGCUGGUGUAUGAUUUGUUUUGCUUUCAUGUUUAUUUAAAUGUGUGCUACAUUAUUUUCUUAACAAUGUUCUGGUAAAUAUUGAGAUAGAGGUUGUGCAUAACAAACAAACAAAAAAGAGAUGUAUAUUUUACAUAUGGUUUUGUCUUCUUGCUACAAUAUUGUAAAUGGGGUGUUGAUUGAAUACUCGCUGCUAUUUGUAUGGUGUGUAAAUAAAAGGUUUAAAAGACAA